GUAGAAUUAUUAAUAUUUUUAAUGUGAUACAAAGAACGCAUGCAUAGCCUUAACUACUUACAUUUAAAUCAUUACAAAAUGUAUUUUUCAAACUUGAUAAAAUCGAUCAGAUUGCUAAUUUUCGCCGUGGAUUUUUCGUUGGUUCAGUUCAGAUCUCUUUCAGCUGAAAAGUCUCAAUUAUUCCUUGGUAAGUACCCGAUUCCGUCCAACGUUGAAUUUCCACUGGACAUUAAUACCAGCGAAGUAAAGCAUAUGACUUUGUCACCUCUAAUUAUCACAUCUUUGAUAGCUGAGCAAUCCUUAGUAAAAAAUACGGGGCAUGCGAGUAAGAAAAUCAGAUGAUUAUCUUCGUGUACUUAUAUCUACAUAUUUUUAGAGGGAGAAAAAUAAGCACAUCCUGGAAAUUCAUCAAUUUUAUUCAAUUUCUAUGAGUAAAUUUUUCAGUUGAAGUUGUAAAAACAAAGAAUAAUUUUGCGGUAACGGUAACUGGAGGUCCACUUAAGAAAGACAUCUAUGAAUUUCACUUGACGAGAUUUUAUUGGACUGGAAAUACAAGUGGACCUGCAGCCACUUUAGUGGAUGGUGCUAAUGAGUAAAACUGUAAACGAAUUUGUGAUAUUCCAUACUUACCUACCUAUUUCGAGAUUUGAAAUCAUACCUACUGACAUGAAACAGAAUGUGACGUUUAAUUCGUGAAUUUUAUAGAGUUCCAAUAGAAGCUUUAGCUUUAUGGUACAAUUUAAAAUAUGGUUCAUUCGAAAAUUCAACUCAGUAUAGAGAUGGUGUGGCUGCACUUUCGUUUCCAGUCAAGAUAGUUAAGGGCUCGCUUAUUCCCAGUACAACUGAAAUAUCAUUUAUUCCUUUUGCGAAAAAAUUGAAACAAGUUCAAAAACCUGGCUCAGUCGUACCGGUUUUGCUUCUCGAGCAUUUUAUCUGGUUUGAUGGACAGGCGCUAUUACUAAACACCCCUUAUUUCUCGUAUCCGGGCUCUUACACGGAUCAAAAAACUUCUAAAACGUAUUAUUGUACCAUACACAUCGUAUUUCAACCACAAAUUAAUUAUAUUACGGAAGAACAAUUCUAUGAAUAUAUCGUACCUCUCAAGAACUCUGAAGGAGGCCAACUAACCAACGCAGUUCAGAGUCAUCCUCAAGGCGACACUCCUGUUAUACAAGCUGAAGGACAAAUACAAAUUUUCAUUCCCUUUGGUGGAGGACUUACUGAUGUAUCUUUAUUACACGAAGAAAUAAAAUCAAUUUCUUUACCGAGUUUAUAGAUUAGGCUACCUAUAUAAUAUCGAACUUUUAAACCACGUGUGUAGAAAUGUUCACCAA